rnacentral:rRNA from 1 species
GACGAACGCUGGCGGCGCGCUUAACACACGCAAGUCGAGCGGGAACCGGGCCUUCGGGCCCGGGGACAGCGGCGAACGGGUGAGUAACACGUGGGUAAUCUGCCCUCGGUACUGGGAUAGCCCGGGGAAACCCGGAUUAAUACCGGAUAGCCCUUCGAGCCUUCGGGCUCGCAGGAAAAGGUAGCUUCGGCCUCCGACCGAGGAUGAGCCCGCGGCGGAUUAGCUUGUUGGUGGGGUAACGGCCUACCAAGGCGACGAUCCGUAGCUGGUCUGAGAGGACGAUCAGCCACACUGGGACUGAGACACGGCCCAGACUCCUACGGGAGGCAGCAGUGGGAAUCUUGCCCAAUGGGCGAAAGCCUGAGGCAGCGACGCCGCGUGCGGGAAGAAGGCCCUCGGGUUGUAAACCGCUUUCAGGAGGGACGAAGCCACUCGGGUUAAUAGCCUAGAGGGUGACGGUACCUCCAGAAGAAGCCCCGGCUAACUACGUGCCAGCCGCCGCGGUAA